rnacentral:rRNA from 1 species
UACGAAGGCCCCGAGCGUUAUCCGGAUUUAUUGGGCGUAAAGCGUUAAUCGGUGGCUUGGUACGUAUUCGGUCAAAUCUCGCGGCUCAACCGCGAGACUGCCGAGUAAACCGCCAGGCUCGAGGCCGGAAGAGGCAAGCGGAACUACCGGUGUAGUGGUGAAAUGCGUUCAUAUCGGUAGGAACACCAAAGGCGAAGGCAGCUUGCUAGUACGCGCCUGACACUCAAUAACGAAAGCGUGGGUAGCGAAUGGG